rnacentral:rRNA from 1 species
GUUAAGUUGCAGGGUAUAGACCCGAAACCCGGUGAUCUAGCCAUGGGCAGGUUGAAGGUUGGGUAACACUAACUGGAGGACCGAACCGACUAAUGUUGAAAAAUUAGCGGAUGACCUGUGGCUGGGGGUGAAAGGCCAAUCAAACCGGGAGAUAGCUGGUUCUCCCCGAAAGCUAUUUAGGUAGCGCCUCGUGAAUUCAUCUCCGGGGGUAGAGCACUGUUUCGGCUAGGGGGCCAUCCCGGCUUACCAACCCGAUGCAAACUGCGAAUACCGGAGAAUGUUAUCACGGGAGACACACGGCGGGUGCUAACGUCCGUCGUGAAGAGGGAAACAACCCAGACCGCCAGCUAAGGUCCCAAAGUCAUGGUUAAGUGGGAAACGAUGUGGGAAGGCCCAGACAGCCAGGAUGUUGGCUUAGAAGCAGCCAUCAUUUAAAGAAAGCGUAAUAGCUCACUGGUCGAGUCGGCCUGCGCGGAAGAUGUAACGGGGCUAAACCAUGC